rnacentral:rRNA from 1 species
UACGUAGGGGGCUAGCGUUGUCCGGAAUCAUUGGGCGUAAAGCGCGCGUGGGCGGUCAGGUAAGUCCGGUGUGAAAGUCAAAGGCUCAACCUUUGAAUGCCGCUGGAUACUGCCUGACUUGAGUCCGGAAGGGGCGAGUGGAAUUCCUGGUGUAGCGGUGAAAUGCGCAGAUAUCAGGAGGAACACCAAUGGCGAAGGCAGCUCGCUGGAACGGUACUGACGCUGAGGCGCGAAAGCGUGGGGAGCGAACAGG